AUGUCUUUUUGAUAAUAAUUUAAGGUUUAAUCUGCUCAAUGAGUAUUUAAAUUGCCGCGGUAUUAUGACCGUGCAAAGGUAGCAUAAUAAUUAGUUUCUUUAUUGGGAGCUGGAAUGAAUGAUUGGACAAGAAAAUUUCUGUCUCUUUUAGACUUUUUUUUUAACUUAAUUUAUAAGUAAAAAAGCUUAUAUGAUUAUUAAAGACGAGAAGACCCUAUAGAGUUUAAUAUUUAAUUUAAUUAGGGGUUUUUAGUAUUUAAUGGUUUAAUUUAUUUAAUUAUUUAGUUGGGGUGAUUAAAAGAUUGAUUUAACUCUUUAAAAUUUUUAUCAAUGAUUUUUGAUUUUUUAAUCUAAAUUUUUUAAAUUUAAAGUAAAUUACCUUAGGGAUAACAGCGUAAUUUCUUUUUAGAGUUCAUAUUAAAAUUGAAGUUUGCGACCUCGAUGUUGGAUUAAAAUUAAUUUUUGGUGCAGAAGCUUAAAAAUUAGGUCUGUUCGACCUUUAAAAUUUUACAUGAUCU
rnacentral:rRNA from 1 species